GAAUGCAGUGUGUGCGUGUGUGUAGUGUGUGUGUAUAUAAUGAAUGCAGUGUGUGUGUGUGUAGUGUGUGUGUAUAUAAUGAAUGCAGUGUGUGUGUGUAUAUAAUGAAUGCAGUGUGUGUGUAUAUAAUGAAUGCAGUGUGUGUGUAGUGUGUGUAUGUAUAUAAUGAAUGCAGUGUGUGUGUAGUGUGUGUAUGUAUAUAAUGAAUGUAGUGUGUGUGUUUAUGCAGUGUGUGUGUAUAUAAUGAAUGUAUUUUGGGUGGAGGGGGU